AUCUUUGACGAUGAUUUUAUUGUUUCACUCUGAAAGAAUUAGGAAGAAUUCAUGUAAACAAAUGACUUAAUGUUUAAGAUGUUUUUGUUAUUAUUAUUUUAUUUCCACAGCUAUCAUGUUCUGUAUCAGUUACAGCAUGAGUGAGCUCACACACUGGAUCAAAAAAAGGUCCCAUUAAAAGGUCCUCAGGGGUGAAAUGGUCUGCUGUGGGUCUGGAGUCUCACGGCCAGGUUUGUGGUGUGGAAAAUCAAUAAGAGCCAAGCGGAAGGAGGGCCGCACCAAAUCCAAGUUCUGCUUUGGGGCCCCAUAGAGGCUUGGUCCGGCCCUGAUACCUCAUAGUUUGGCUGAAAUCUGCAUCUUGUGGGAAACUGAACGCCCUCAGCAGAGAUGUGGCCGCGAUGAUGUGAGAAUGUGUCUGAUGUCCAACCUCAGCCCAAAUAUGACCCAGCGCACUCCACAUUAAGGCCCAUCCUUGUCAGCCCAUAGGGUAGAGCUGCUUGAUUGACAGCUGAGUUCAGCAUCUUGACACAGGUCUUACAGGGGCUACGAGAGGGUGAUGCACUGCAGAAACUCAUCAUCAAAUACACCAGACUCCUCUGUUAAAUAUUGAGAUUUCAGACAUUUCCGUG